GUGAAAACAGAAGAAAAUAAAUGACGGUGGGGGGGGCGGAGCUUUAUCUUCUCCCUACAUCUGUUGGGCAGUUGUUGAGUAACAUAGAACCUAGUUCCAUGGUAAUGGCAAUGGUAAUAUUAAUAGAAAUAUUACAGUAAUAGCAGUUUUGCUUCCGGAGGGAGAGGUGUUUAUAUUUCCACGUCAGCAAGACUGGUACCACCAGGAGGGCAGAAAGAAGGUUCUACAAUUACCAGAAUAGCUUUUUAAGACCAGAAAUGAUAGCUGUGGCGCACAGUCUAGCCCGGGGCGUUUCGCAGCUGGAUAUUAAUAACCUGUGCCUCAGCGUGUUUCGCUGCUUGCGAGUGAAACGGGCUGCUGCCUCCUGGCUCACCAGAGCACAGGCCCCGAUCUGUGCGUGCAGCAGCAUGAGGCGCUGGUCUUCUGAGGUGGUGGAGCGGACUGUCCUCCUCGCCACCUUUCUGGCCGUUCACCAAUGUUAGCACACCAGCGCCCCUUGGCAGGUAGGGCAGCGAAGGGACAGGUGCGGCUGGAACGUUCCUCUGGCAGGUCAGAUCUUGCAGGGCGCUGUCCUGGUGCAGAGGAGCAUUAAGAGAUGGCGUUCCUUCCCCUCGCCCCCUCCAUGUGCAGGCCGGUGGUGCAAUUCACCCACGGGGCUCUGCCCUCUCGCUCUGUACAGUGCAGGCCGGGACCGUGCUGGGGGUGGCUGGACUUCCUCUUUUCUUGCGGGUGCUCCUAAAGCUUGGAAGGGUUGUGGGCAGUGAGUUCUGCUCCCUUUGCGUGCGCUUCCCUCUCCCCCCAGAAAACCCCUUGGCAUCACCCCUUCGUAAUACUCCUCUGCCAAAGUGCUGCCCAGAUUGGUUUUUACAUUGACCGAAAUGGUCUUUUGCUCUGAAAACGGUGCUCUCCUUCGUUUACCUCGCUUGAAAUGGAUGUGUUCCUGACUGGAGAGGUGUUCUUGGCAUCACCUGGCCCUUGUCCUCUUCGUCCCAUUUUUAAAACACCGACUCGGCUGCCCCGCGGAAAAGGCAGCUGGAUGGUCACACGGGCAUUUUCUGCUAGCAAGAGAACUACCGGGAGGAACAAGGGUGUCGAUGCCUGGCUGCUUUUAGUGCCAUUCAGCCUCCCUCAGCCAAGUAAAUAAUUGCCGAACACUCUCGCUGACAAAAGAGCUGGCUCAGCUCAUGACACGGGGGCGGUGAGAAUCUUGUCAGCACCAAAUGAGGAGGGAGGGCGUGCUGGCCGUGUGUCAAGAAGCAGCGGAUCCCCAAAGGGGAGCGCAGCGAGCGCGUUCAGCCGUUCCCGCUCAGCGCGUCUCUAAUCCAGCUAAGCCCUGCUGGCCCGAACGACAGCGGCUGCGGUGUGCAGCGUGUCACCGAGUAGAGGGGAGCUGAAAACUUUUCACAAGUGUGGCGGGGCGUUCUUGGGCUGUCGGUUCUUGCAGAUGGCUGGGUAUAUGACCCCUGUCUGGUUAUAGGCAUAGCUGCGUAGCUUCUUGGGUUACUCGGGAGAAGCAGUAUGCAGAGCGAAUUUCAGCAAGUUCGUUUUGAGCCCUCCAGCUCUGUGCUCAUAUAAAACUUCUCCGCCCCCUCAGCUCAGUGUGUGGCAAAACCUGUGUGGUGAAAUCAAAAUGGCUCCUUGGAAAACAGCUUUAUCUCAAGAUGGGUGUUCCUUGUUAGGGGGAAAAAAACACCGCGCAAGAAAAUAAUUAGGCUUGGAAAUCCUGAUUUCCUUUCAUUCUCGCUUCAUUUUUUACAGUGCUAUAUUGCCCAAUGAGCUAAUUUCUCAGGGUGGUAUACCAAGAUCCAUGCCUUAAAAAUACAUUAUAAGAUCCACGUGUAUACUAACAUAUAAACAUGCAGCGCUCCAGUAGAAACAUAUUUCUUUGUUUCCUGUGAAGACAGAUUAUGAUGUGUGGGGCUUUUCGGCUUGGUAAGAAGUUGAGUAACAGGGAGGACAUGGCUGUGGUGUGUAAAAGCUACGUGGGGUGGAGAAAGUGGUUAAGGUGAAAUUUCUCUCCUAUUCUAGCACCAGAAGCGGAUUGGUAGCAGGUUGAUCAGUCAACAAAGGGAAGGUACUUACGCCAAACAUAGUUGAACUGUGUAGUUUACUACUUCAAGGUGUAGCACCCAGACCGCUGAAAAGCAGGACCAGACACGCAUGGUAUUGACUUAUGGUGACCACAGUUGCAGUGUGUCCCUGAAUGUGUGUGUGUGUGUGUGUGUGGGGAGGGGGGGGUGUCACAGCACCCUUGGUCCUACUUGUAGGUUUUGCAUGGCCUUUUGGUGAACAGCAGGUGGUGCAUCUCAUAUUUUGUUGUCGGAGUGCUCUGGAAAUGCAGACCCACCAAUUCUCUUGGAUCUCCUCAGUUCUUCUGGAAGUGACACAUCACCACUGAUUGACCUGGCUUUUGAUGGCUGUGGCUUCUGGAAGUCGGCGUUUCAGAUUUAGAAUUGGAUUUUGGCCUGUUUGUUAGUGUGCUAAAUUUCUGCCCUGCCCAUUAGUCAGGAUAGCUCUUUGGACAGCUCCCAAACUAUAAUAACAAAAGCAAGAAAAACAAUAAUAUUAAACAACAUAUGUUAUUGUUAUGUGCCAGCAAGUUGACUCCAGCCUAUGGUGACCCGUUGCUUUUAGUUUUCAGAAGGUUUUUAUUGCCCCAGAACUUCAGCUUGGGGACAGGAGAGAAAGGUCCCCUAACUAAAGCGAACUGCAGCAGCGCAAACCAAUGUGUGCCAUAUGGUAGAUACACAAAGAACACCAGCAGAAAAUUGAAACCUGGAGGAGCAGCCAUUUUGGGAGAAUUGCUAAAAUUGCCCAGGCUUUCUUCCACAUUUUGUUCUUCUGCUGCAUCAAUAUAUAAUGCUUGCAGCAGCAAAUGUUGCUUUAAUGGAAAUAAAGGCCUUUGUUCUUCCAAAA